AGUGAACGCUGGCGGCGUGCCUAAUACAUGCACGUCGAAGGAAGUGGCGCACGGGGGAGAAAUAUAUAGCUAAUCUGCCCCUUGCUGGAGGCCAACAGUUAGAAAUGACUGCUAAUACUCCAUAGCAAGGGAUAAGACUACAUCGUAUCAGCUAGUCGGUGGGGUAACGGCCUACCGAGGCUAUGACGCGUCACUGGUCCGAGAGGAGGAUCAGUGACAUUUGACCUGACACACAGUCCAAACUCCUACUGGAGUCAGCAGGAGGGAAUAUUGCGCAAUGGGGGAAACCCUGAGCCAGCAACGCCGCUUGUAGGAUGACACUUUUCGGAGCGUAAACUCCUUUUGUUAGGGAAGCGGUACCUAACGAAUAAGCACCGGCUAACUCCGUGCCAGCCGCCGCGGUAAUAC
rnacentral:rRNA from 1 species